CUGGGAAUUGAUAGGCACUGGCUGUGACUGGCAGCCAGAUCGAGAAGUCCCAGGAUGUGCCUUUGUCACUCACGCCAUGUAAAACUCUGCACAUCAUGGCAGAGAGGAGACCUGGAAAUGGAGGGUAGCAAUUCCAAACUCAACAGUCCGGCCAAGAGUUUUGAUGAGGACGGACUAUUUGUGGAGUUAGGAUCAAGUGCGUUCUGAUUAUCCACAUCCCUGCUCAUGCUCCCACUGCAACCCUGAGGGAUCCCGGGAUCACGACCUCCGCAGAUCAGCAGACAGGUCUUUAAUUGUGCUUUACUGGAGUCCUCCUCAGUCAAAAUGGCAGACUUAACAGGGAACACACGUGCCUAGUGGUGACAAUGUCUCCAAUCCAAGAAGCCCUUGCCAAGACCACAGAAUUUUCCCAAGAAGCCCUUAAAUGCUGUCUCCUAAAUUGCAAUGACUUUUUCUGGACUUUAUCUUAUGUCCCUGUGUAAUCUCGCAAAGAAAGAAAGCACGAUUAUGUCCAGCCCUGUGUUCCUUGUAUCCCGUAAGCCCUAAGAAACUCCCUGGGUUGCCUUGUCAAUGGGUCAGAGCCACGGGCUUAUAUGUGACAUCUUAUAAAAUGCAGAGAUCCGCCAGACUGGACCUGCUUCGUAGGACUCUUCUGUCAUCCCUGCUGCAGAAGCCAGCCCGGCAUGCCUGAACCAGCCUGGCAUCUCCCUGUUGUUCCAUGGGAUAUGAUCCUUUCUUCUUAUACGUACCAAGGCAUCCAAGAUUCUUCUCAGUUACUGCCCAUCAACUCCCAUCAGCAUGGUGCCAUCAAAUCUAGCUUACCUAAUGCAUUGUGGAAUAAAGCCUGAAGUUUUGUAAACCAAAAUAUCAACAGCGUCGAACUAUUCCCACCAGACAGAAGCAGGCCCGGCUGUCUCUACUGAACGGGAUAGAGAGGGAGCCAGCAAGUAUCAGAGGUAGAAUCAGGCUUGCUGUCUUCCGACAUUUCUUGUUGUUAGCAGUCUUUAGUUUCUCUUUCUGUCGCUCUGGAACCCAGGGCUCCACACAUGCAAUGUCAGGGAUCUACUACUGAGCAACUCUCCCGCCCCUAGUCUUUAAUUCUUGGAAUUUUUUGUUUGUUUGCUGGAAGAGUUGAGGAGACAGUACAGCAGUUUCCCAUAAUUCUCCUGGCACUCCCAUAUUUGUAUGGAACAUUUGCUAUAACUAAUGAGCCAAUAUUGACACACUAUCAAUAAAUACAGUCCACGGUUCA